UAAGACUGAAAUCCUCCCACAAACUUUAUCUGAUCAUAAUCCAGUAUAUAUGGAGGUAAAAGGAAAAGAUUUCAGAACAUUAAGAUGGAGAAUGAACGAAAACCUAUUCAAUGAUCAAAAGAUAGCAAAUAAAGCAAAAGAGACAAUUGAGGAAUAUUUUAAGUGGAAUUUGAAUAAAGAAACAUCUCUAGAAACGGUGUGGGAUGCCGGGAAGGCUGUCAUGAGGGGUUUUCUUAUUCAGAAAAAUAGCAUCUC